rnacentral:lncRNA from 1 species
CUGCAGUUUCCAGCAAUUUCAGGCUUUCCUGUUCAACUGGCAGUCAAUGCCUCAGCAGCAAUCAACAUAAAAAUCAAAGGGAAUGCUGAUUUCAAACAACAGUCUGAUUUCUUUCUAAAUGGAUAUAUCAAGCCAAGUGCAUUUGUUCAGCUUUCUGUCCAAGUGGGAAUUGUGGGGACUCUGGGACAAGCUGGCCUAAAGUGGUUAACAGGAAUGAGGACAUCUACUAGUCUUGAUGGGGGAAUCCAGGUGAAGAAAGGGAAAGAACUCAAGGUUUUCUUGAACACUCCAGAAGAAUCUAUGGAGUUAAUUAAUUUCAGCUCUAAACUCUACUUCAGAAUGGUGGAUGAGACAGAAGAUACAGAUGACUUCCAAGACAACACAGAAACCAGAUCUUGCACUAGGGAAGAAGUAUCUGAGAUUAUUGGCUGGCAACUGUGUUCUGAAAUGUCCUAUCCUGACCCAGCCAGUGGUUUGGUUUUGCCCCUCACCGGACCUUUGCUAGUGGCUGUGACAUUAACUAAGCAAGACAGAGGCCUGCAGCAGUACGUGGUGGAAGCUGCCUAUAACUACAUAGCUCAGGAGAAUUCAUGGAUCCCUAGUGAAGCUGUCUUUCACUUCUUCCUUGGGACUCCAAAGUCAGACUUGAAGAGAGAGAUUGGUGUUGACCUAAGUUUUAGUAUCCCACAGAAAAAAUUCAGAAUCCAAUUUAUACAACCUAAGAAAAAAAUUGAGAUUGAUGGGAGGAUUGAGUUUUCUAAAAAUUCUCAAGUUGGACACCUGGAGCUGAUAGUGGAUGACCGAGAUGUGUAUUACAUUAAGGGAAUGGCAGAUUUGCAGAUGCUGAGUGGAGAGCAGAAAUACAUGACCCAGCUGGAGGUAAAGCUGAUAAAGCAAAGCAGUCCUAUCAUUUUGUCAGGAAACAUCACUAAACAGCUUGGCAAGAAGAUAGCUGUUUCAGUAUCUCUGAAUAAUUUGUUGAAGGAUGCUGCAUUUCUUUCAGGUUAGAGGACACACUUCUGGAGAAAAAGGCUGAUGAUAAGCUGAGACAAUACUCGUUGGAAGGGGAGACCCACCUUCCAGGUGUUU